rnacentral:tRNA from 1 species
GGCCAGUUAGCUCAGUCGGUUGAGCAUGGUGCUGAUAACACCAAGGUCGCGGGUUUGAUUUCCAUUUGGUCC